ensembl:snRNA U6 U6 spliceosomal RNA
GGUUAUCACUUUACCUGCCCCUACACUAAACAUUGGAAUGAUACAGAGAUCAAUGUGGCCCCUGCAUAAAGUUGUCAUGCAAAUUUGUAAAGCAUUUCAUAGUUUU